rnacentral:rRNA from 1 species
GACGAACGCUGGCGGCGUGCUUAACACAUGCAAGUCGAACGGGCCCGCCCCUGUUUUUGGGGGUGGGUUGAGUGGCGAACGGGUGAGUAUCACGUGAGUAACCUGCCCCCUGCUCCUGGAUAACUGCUUGAAAGGGCGGCUAAUACGGGGUGUGCCGGCUGGUCCGCAUGGGCCUGGUCGGGAUAGUUUCAUCUUCGGGUGUUUCGGUGGGGGAUGGGCUCGCGGCCUAUCAGCUUGUUGGUGGGGUGAUGGCCCACCAAGGCGGUGACGGGUAGCCGGCCUGAGAGGGUGGGCGGCCACACUGGGACUGAGACACGGCCCAGACUCCUGCGGGAGGCAGCAGUGGGGGGUAUUGCACAAUGGGCGGAAGCCUGAUGCAGCGACGUCGCGUGAGGGAUGGAGGCCUUCGGGUUGUGAACCUCUUUCUCCGGUGGUGAAGGCCCUGUCCGUUGCGGCGGGGUUGACGGUAGCCGGGUAUGAAGCGCCGGCUAACUACGUG